rnacentral:lncRNA from 1 species
GCCUGGUUCCACGUGAAACUAAUUCCUGUCCUCCCCAGUUUCACUACAGAGAUGCUCACUCAAACCACCGCACAGACAAACUGCACCAACUACCAAGUCAUUGUGAAAGGAAUGGGCAAGGUCUCCAAGAAAAUGCCGCUCACCAGAAGAAAGGGAAUCGCCAACGUCCUUGUGAAACAUCUGAAGCAGUUCUUGGCCACGUUCAACAAAAGAGGUAACUGGCCCUUGCACACACCAAGCUAGCUUAUAUUAACCUGGAUUCUGACCCAAGAUUUCCUGAGCCUUGCGGAAGCUUCCCAUUUCCAAAUCUUUUAUAAAUUCCCGAGAUGUUGGCGCUUACCUCAGGCUUUGACCCACGUUUUUGUUUAUUUUCUAGCCUGCAGACUGGACAUCCAGAAUGAUGCCGAAUGGCUGGAGGUCAACCUGGGUCCAUUCUCCAAAGAAGUAGACUACUCUGCCUUUAAAGAACUGAACAUUACAGGAGUAAGAGAAACCUCAUUGGCACUUUGAAACGUUGUUCUCCACACCACACCGUUUAAGAAAGCGUCUUUUCCCAUUUCAAGAUUCAGCUGCUGUCACUUGCGAUACGUUUUUUUUGCCAAUAACUAUUUUCUUUCUCCACAGCUGGCAACUUUGGACUCGCUCUCACCGGACCAGAAAGCUGAGUUGGUUCUGGACCCCAGUAGUGGUGCUCUUGAGAAUGUGACUGUCUUGACAGAAGUCUUUGGCAGCAUAGUGGGAUCUCCAGACGAUGGGGAACUCGACCGUUUCUGGGAGGCUUGUGCCGCUGUCACGGCGCAGGUGAGUGGGUCGCAUGGAAGGUCAAACUUCAUCACUUGCCAAA